rnacentral:rRNA from 1 species
CUUUGCUGACGAGUGGCGGACGGGUGAGUAAUGUCUGGGAAACUGCCUGAUGGAGGGGGAUAACUACUGGAAACGGUAGCUAAUACCGCAUAACGUCGCAAGACCAAAGAGGGGGACCUUCGGGCCUCUUGCCAUCGGAUGUGCCCAGAUGGGAUUAGCUUGUUGGUGGGGUAACGGCUCACCAAGGCGACGAUCCCUAGCUGGUCUGAGAGGAUGACCAGCCACACUGGAACUGAGACACGGUCCAAACUCCUACGGGAGGCAGCAGUGGGGAAUAUUGCACAAUGGGCGCAAGCCUGAUGCAGCCAUGCCGCGUGUAUGAAGAAGGCCUUCGGGUUGUAAAGUACUUUCAGCGGGGAGGAAGGGAGUAAAGUUAAUACCUUUGCUCAUUGACGUUACCCGCAAAAGAAGCACCGGCUAACUCCGUGCCAGCAGCCGCGGUAAUACGGAGGGUGCAAGCGUUAAUCGGAAUUACUGGGCGUAAAGCGCACGCAGGCGGUUUGUUAAGUCAGAUGUGAAAUCCCCGGGCUCAACCUGGGAACUGCAUCUGAUACUGGCAAGCUUGAUCUCGAGAGGGGGGAAAUUCAGGUGUACGGUGAAAUGCGUAGAGAUCUGGAGGAAACCGGUGGCGAAG